AUGCCCUCCGCAAGGACUGCGCCUAGCCCCUCUGCUCCGGCGCUCCUUGGCCGUCCCUGGCCCUCUGCCUGGUCGCCAGGGACGUGCAGCUCCGCGCCUGCUCCAGCCGGGGGCCGCCACCCGCCACGCCGGCUCUGGCCCUUUGCUCCGACCAAUCCCGGUGCUGCUCGCCUGCUCGGCCGAACUCUGUCGCCCAAGACUUGCUGUCAACAAACUGCAAGCAGGCUGGGACAAGGGACAAUUGGCUUCUUCAAGAAGGUAGAAGACGCCGUCCACCCUGUGUCACCGUCGCCAGAAGGUAGAAGACGCCGUCCACUCCUGUUCAGCCACUGCACCAUCGUCCAGCACCUCAAGGCCGACAUUGCCUGGAGCUCCUGUUCAAGAUUUCAGAUCCAGAGAUGA
rnacentral:rRNA from 1 species